rnacentral:tRNA from 1 species
GUCCUCGGUGGCUCAGAUGGAUAGAGCGUCUGCCAUGUAAGCAGCAGAUCCCGGGUUCGAAUCCCGGUCGGGACA